rnacentral:rRNA from 1 species
GACGAACGCUGGCGGCGUGCUUAACACAUGCGAGUCGAACGAUGAUGCCCAGCUUGCCGGGUGGAUUAGUGGCGAACGGGUGAGUAACACGUGGGUAACCUGCCCCAAAGCGGGGGAUAACAUUUGGAAACAGAUGCUAAUACCGCAUAACCACAGAAACCACAUGGUUUCUGUGUCAAAGAUGGUUUCGGCUAUCACUUUGGGAUGGACCCGCGGCGUAUUAGCUAGUUGGUAAGGUAAUGGCUUACCAAGGCAAUGAUACGUAGCCGAACUGAGAGGUUGAUCGGCCACAUUGGGACUGAGACACGGCCCAAACUCCUACGGGAGGCAGCAGUAGGGAAUCUUCCACAAUGGACGAAAGUCUGAUGGAGCAACGCCGCGUGAGUGAAGAAGGUUUUCGGAUCGUAAAACUCUGUUGUCAGAGAAGAACGUGUGCGAGAGUAACUGCUCGUGCAGUGACGGUAUCUGGCCAGAAAGCCACGGCUAACUACGUGCCAGCAGCCGCUGUAA